rnacentral:rRNA from 1 species
GAUGAACGCUAGCGGCAGGCUUAACACAUGCAAGUCGAGGGGCAGCACGGGUAGCAAUACCUGGUGGCGACCGGCGCAAGGGUGCGUAACGCGUGAGCAACAUGCCCUAUACAGGGGGAUAAUCCAGGGAAACUUGGUCUAAUAUCCCAUAGUAUUUAGAGGAGGCAUCUUCUAUAAAUUAAAGCUUCGGUGGUAUAGGAUUGGCUCGCGUGACAUUAGCUAGAUGGUGAGGUAACGGCUCACCAUGGCAAUGAUGUCUAGGGGUUCUGAGAGGAAGGCCCCCAACUGGGACUGAGACACGGCCCAGACUCCUACGGGAGCAGCAGUGAGGAAUAUUGGUCAAUGGAGGCAACUCUGAACCAGCCAUGCCGCGUGCAGGAUGACGGCCCUAGUGGGUUGUAAACUGCUUUUGUACCAGAGAAACCUACUCACGUGUGAGUAGCUGAUAGUAUAGGUAAGAAUAAGCAGUCGGACUUAACG